rnacentral:rRNA from 1 species
GACGUAGGGCGCGAGCGUUGUCCGGAUUUAUUGGGCGUAAAGAGCGUGUAGGCGGCCAGGUAGGUCUGCUGUGAAAACUCGAGGCUCAACCUCGAGACGUCGGCGGAAACCAUCUGGCUAGAGUCCGGAAGAGGAGAGUGGAAUUCCUGGUGUAGCGGUGAAAUGCGCAGAUAUCAGGAGGAACACCGGUGGCGAAGGCGGGUCUCUGGGCCGAUACUGACGCUGAGGAGCGAAAGCGUGGGGAGCGAACAGG